GUAAAAGUCUUAGAACACCUUUAUUCAUGCACAAAUAGGUUGACAGUUAAAGUCUUAGGACACCUUUAUUCAUGCACAAAUAGGUUGACAGUAAAAGUCUUAGGACACCUUUAUUCAUGCUAGAAGCCACAUGUAUCAAACAAACAGGUUGACAGUUAAAGUCUUAGGACACCUUUAUUCAUGCUAGAAGCCACAUGUAUCAAACAAACAGGUUGACAGUUAAAGUCUUAGGCCACCUUUAUUCAUGCUAGAAGCCACAUGUAUCAAACAAACAGGUUGACAGUUAAAGUCUUAGGACAUCUUUAUUCAUGCUAGAAGCCUUGGUAACAUGUAUCAAACAAACAGGUUGACAGUUAAAGUCUUAGGACACCUUUAUUCAUGCUAGAAGCCACAUGUAUCAAACAAACAGGUUGACAGUUAAAGUCUUAGGACAUCUUUAUUCAUGCUAGAAGCCUUGGUAACAUGUAUCAAACAAACAGGUUGACAGUUAAAGUCUUAGGACACCUUUAUUCAUGCUAGAAGCCACAUGUAUCAAACAAACAGGUUGACAGUUAAAGUCUUAGGACAUCUUUAUUCAUGCUAGAAGCCUUGGUAACAUGUAUCAAACAAACAGGUUGACAGUUAAAGUCUUAGGCCACCUUUAUUCAUGCUAGAAGCCACAUGUAUCAAACAAACAGGUUGACAGUUAAAGUCUUAGGACACCUUUAUUAAUGCUAGAAGCCACAUGUAUCAAACAAACAGGUUGACAGUUAAAGUCUUAGGACACCUUUAUUCAUGCUAGAAGCAUUGGUAACAUGUAUCAAACAAACAGGUUGACAGUUAAAGUCUUAGGACACCUUUAUUCAUACUAGAAGCCACAUGUAUCAAACAGGUUGACAGUUAAAGUCUUAGGACACCUUUAUUCAUGCUAGAAGCCUUGGUCACAUGUAUCAAACGAAUGGGUUGACAGUUAAAGUCUUAGGACACCUUUAUUCAUGCUAGAAGCCACAUGUAUCAAACAAACAGGUUGACAGUUAAAGUCUUAGGACAUCUUUAUUCAUGCUAGAAGCCACAUGUAAGACACAUUUAUGAUUAAAUUUGGCUUGAAUGGUGAUCAGGACAAUAUCAAGGUCAAGUUAAAACCGGUGUCAUAUGUGUCCUAAAACUAGAUUAAAUCUGGUUACAUCUACAGAAUCAUCAUUUAUGAUACAAUUCUGAUGAAACAAGGUCAAAAUGUUUAUGGUUACAAUAUCCAAGGCUAUUGCUUGGUUAUGCAUGUCCCAAAACUAUAGGUCAUCAGAUCAAAUCUUAUAAAAACCUCGUUGCCACUGUAGAUGUCACAUUUAUGUCUCAGUAUUGAUGAAACUUGGUAAGAUUUGAUAUCUUAAAAAUAUCUAGGCCCCAUUCGAAUCUGGGCCAUAUACAUCCAACAUAAAGUCACAAAUCAUGAGUUGAAAAACCCUAAUACUACUUUUAAAAGUCAAAUGUAUGGUUAUAUCUUGAUAAAACAUGGUCAUUUUUUUAACACUAUAUAUAAAAGGCCAUGUUUUAAUUUGAAUGUAGGUCAAGUGUGGUAAAAAUACUAGGUAACCAGAUCAAGUCUUCCACAGUGGUACACCUUGAACUCGUGAGAGUGCUUUAUGGCCAUCAUUUGUUUUACAUACAGAAUCUUGUGUUGCAUAUAAUGAACAAUCUACUUGAAUAAUCUCACUAAAAUGGGAGCUGCUUUAGUUGCUCAUUGACUGCUGCAAUCUAUAGGAUCUUUGCUAUUUUGUUAAAUAAUUGCUUGUGCUGCUUUUAAUCAGAAUCUCACAGAAGUACAUUUCAUUCAUUUUUGUUAUCCUGUUUUGCUUGUUUUUAUUUGGUAUGUUAUAAUUGUGUGUUUAUGAAACUAGUACGUAUUUGAUAUUUAAUGAAUUUCAUCGGAAAAAAACAGACACUUUUUGUUGUUCAUGUCACGAUAAACGCGUUUUACAAUACAGAUCAAAUUCCUUUCCUCUCUAUGCUCGUUAUAUAGACAAUAUUAGUUUGGUAUGCGAUAAAGUUGAUUUUUUUAUUCAUCACACUGAAAUUCUUCCUUUUAAAAACAGUGAUGGACUAAACUGAAGCAAGAGAUACGAGAUAAAGAUAGUAAAAAAACACUAUACAAACUUACUUGCCGUGACUGCAUAAUGUUUCUGGUCCAGUUUAUUGUGAAUAUGCCCCUUUCAAAAUACAUUAGUUUUGACAAAUAGGUCUGAGAUAUUGUAUAUUUGUAUUCCGAAUAUUCGUCUUCUGUUGCUCAGACAAUGAUGAGUAAAUUGUGUCUGAAAGGAUUCAAUACACUUCGUAAUGAGUAUAAUGCUGUUGUGGAUGAUACCUGUGAAAAACACAUGGUUAGAAUAGUUUUCUUAUGAAAACUUUGCUUUAGUGUGUAUUUUUGUGAAAACAGAAAGUUCAUAUGGAAUAGAAUAAACAAGUACCUGUUAUGAAUGCCUUGCAGUAGUGAGUAGAAAAUUCCUUUAAAAAACGAAUUACUUGAAUAGAAGUUUUGUUCUGGAUACGGUGAUGUUGCUAUGAUAAUAAUCCUUUGAACAAUGAAACCUUAAUAAAAAAAUAGGUUAGCUCAAAAUACCACGCUAUUGUUCAUAGUAUGCUGAAGACCGUGCAGCACAAAGUAUCAGAAUCAUCUACAAAUCCAAACAGUUCCAUUGGUAUAGAAUAGCUUCUUUGUGAAUACAAUUCUGUUAAGUAUAUUGUGAUCAUCUGAAAAACGAACACCUAGGGAUAGAUUAACCUUGUUCUGAAUACAAUUGUAGUGAAUAUCAUGAUCCUAUGAACGACAA